CUCUUUCCUGUCUACUGUAUCCACGUGGAAGAGUUACAAUUUUGUCUCAUCGCUGCAACUCGCCAACAGAGAGAGACAAAGUUUGAGAGUCAUGCGUCUUUCCCCGAAACAUGAACCGCCAAGUCGCGCCGCUUCUUAAUACACUUCUCUUUUAACACCUGAAGCCAGCCGCUCCAAUGUGUCUGGAGGAAACACGUCCAACCGAAGUCAGUUUGCAGGCGCACGGCCCGCCACGAGAAGUCACUAGAGCAAGCCAAGGAAGUCCCCCCGGCCAAAGCCGGAUGACGCUGGGCCAAUUGUGCGCAGCCCCAUGGGCGCACGGCCGGCUGUGACACAGCCUGGGAUCGAACCCUGAGGCUUAAGUGACGCCUCAGCACUGCGUGGUAGUGCCUUAGACCGCUGUACCACCCUUUGUUAUGAUAUUCUUGACAAUAUUUUACUGUUAGUUUGCAAGUGCAUGUCAUGUACUAACUGUACGUAAAGCCUGGCUGUAAUUGAUGAAAGUUGGCUAUACUGUACAUUAUUAUACAUGAUAAAUGUUGGCUAGCCCAUGCCCAUAGGCUAUACUGUACAUUAUUAUACAUGAUAAAAGUUGGCUAGCCCAUGCCCAUAGGCUAUACUGUAUAUUAUUAUACAUGAUUAAAGUUGGCUAGCCCAACACCAUAGGCUAUACUGUUCAUUGUUUUACAUGAUAAAAGUUGGCUAACCCAUGCCCAUAGGCUAUACUGUACAUUAUUAUACAAGAUGAAAGUUAGCUAGCACCAACACCAUAGGCUGUACUGUACAUUGCACUAUAUUGUAUUGUUAUCUAACGAGACAAUUGUUAUUGAUAGCCCUGUCUACUGUAUCCAUCUGGAAGAGAGGAGUUGGUGCAUGAGGGCAGCACAACAUUUCAUUUCUGGAUGUAUUUUUUUUCUUCAUCGGAAUAAAAGAUCGUCACCAACUCUAA